AACGAACGCUGGCGGCAUGCCUAACACAUGCAAGUCGAACGAGACCUUCGGGUCUAGUGGCGCACGGGUGCGUAACGCGUGGGAACCUGCCCUUAGGUUCGGAAUAACUCCCCGAAAUGGCUGCUAAUACCGGAUAAUGUCUUCGGACCAAAGAUUUAUCGCCUUGGGAUGGGCCCGCGUUGGAUUAGCUAGUUGGUAGGGUAAAAGCCUACCAAGGCGACGAUCCAUAGCUGGUCUGAGAGGAUGAUCAGCCACACUGGGACUGAGACACGGCCCAGACUCCUACGGGAGGCAGCAGUGGGGAAUAUUGGACAAUGGGCGAAAGCCUGAUCCAGCAAUGCCGCGUGAGUGAUGAAGGCCUUAGGGUUGUAAAGCUCUUUUACCCGGGAUGAUAAUGACAGUACCGGGAGAAUAAGCUCCGGCUAACUCCGUG
rnacentral:rRNA from 1 species